rnacentral:rRNA from 1 species
AUUGAACGCUGGCGGCAGGCUUAACACAUGCAAGUCGAGCGGAGCGAGGGUGCUUGCACCUUAGCUUAGCGGCGGACGGGUGAGUAAUGCUUAGGAAUCUGCCUAUUAGUGGGGGACAACAUUCCGGAAGAAAUGCUAAUACCGCAUACGCCCUACGGGGGAAAGCAGGGGAUCUUCGGACCUUGCGCUAAUAGAUGAGCCUAAGUCGGAUUAGCUAGUUGGUGGGGUAAAGGCCUACCAAGGCGACGAUCUGUAGCGGGUCUGAGAGGAUGAUCCGCCCAACUGGGACUGGGACACGGCCCAGACUCCUACGGGAGGCAGCAGUGGGGAAUAUUGGACAAUGGGCGGAAGCCUGAUCCAGCCAUGCCGCGUGUGUGAAGAAGGCCUUUUGGUUGUAAAGCACUUUAAGCGAGGAGGAGGCUCUUAAGGUUAAUACCCUUGAUGAGUGGACGUUACUCGCAGAAUAAGCACCGGCUAACUCUGUGCCAGCCGCCGCCGUAACAC